rnacentral:rRNA from 1 species
UACAGAGGAUGCAAGCGUUAUCCGGAAUGAUUGGGCGUAAAGCGUCUGUAGGUGGCUUUUUAAGUCCGCCGUCAAAUCCCAGGGCUCAACUCUGGACAGGCGGUGGAAACUACCAAGCUGGAGUACGGUAGGGGCAGAGGGAAUUUCCGGUGGAGCGGUGAAAUGCGCAGAUAUCAGGAGGAACACCGAUGGCGAAGGCAGGUCUCUGGGCAUUAACUGACGCUGAGGAGCGAAAGCAUGGGGAGCGAACAGG